rnacentral:rRNA from 1 species
AGGGAAUCUUCCACAAUGGACGGAAGUCUGAUGGAGCAACGCCGCGUGAGUGAUGAAGGUUUUCGGAUCGUAAAACUCUGUUGUAAGCGAAGAACCAGUACGUCAGGCAAUGGACGUACCUUGACGGUACCUUAUUAGAAAGCCACGGCUAACUACGUGCCAGCAGCCGCGGUAAUACGUAGGUGGCAAGCGUUGUCCGGAAUUACUGGGCGUAAAGGGCGCGUAGGCGGCCUGUUAAGUCAGAUGUGAAACCCCCAGGCUCAACUUGGGGAUUGCAUAUGAAACUGAUGGGCUCGAGUGUCGGAGAGGAAAGCGGAAUUCCUAGUGUAGCGGUGAAAUGCGUAGAUAUUAGGAGGAACACCAGUGGCGAAGGCGGCUUUCCGGACGAUAACUGACGCUGAGGCGCGAAAGCGUGGGGAGCAAACA